rnacentral:rRNA from 1 species
UACGUAGGGUGCAAGCGUUAAUCGGAAUUACUGGGCGUAAAGCGUGCGCAGGCGGUUUUGUAAGUCUGUCGUGAAAUCCCCGGGCUCAACCUGGGGAAUUGCGAUGGAGACUGCAAGGCUAGAAUCUGGCAGAGGGGGGUAGAAUUCCACGUGUGAGCAGUGAAAUGCGUAGAGAUGUGGAGGAACACCGAUGGCGAAGGCAGCCCCCUGGGCCUGCACUGACGCUCAUGCACGAAAGCGUGGGGAGCAAACAGG